ACUUAUAAUUUUCUAGCAAAUUUGUUUUUAUUUUGAUUGCGAAGUGGUUAGAAAUUUUGGUAUAUAAGGAGGGUAAUUUACUCAAAAUUAAUAUCUUCUCCUGCCUUUUGAGCUCUUGAAUAUCCCACCGUCUUUCACAAUCAUGAAAACUAUGAUUUUAACCGUAUUUUUCCUGUGCAUCGCUGGAUCAGCUCUGGCAGAUUUCGAUUUUGAGAAAAAGGAAGAACCAGCCAAAGUAUUUUCCUAUCCAAGCUACUACUACCCCUCCUAUUCACCCUAUUCUCCUUACAAAUCUGUAGUUCCAUCAGGUAGCCCUUACUACAAAUCUAUUGCCUCCUACACCGGCUAUACUCCAUAUGGCGGCGGUUACUACUAUUCACCAUACUCGCCCUACAAAUACGUGGCUCCCCCUGUAGUAGCAUCUCCAUACGUCGUUCCCCUCAAAUAGAUGAUGCUACACAAGAUGACCAUUGCAAUCUUUCCCGCUGAAAAACGUUCAAAUGCUUUCGAUCCAGUUCAAAACAGAUGUCUGUCCAGUAGAUUUUGCAGGAUAGCUGCUGUCACUGUUGUUUAGUCGCCCAUUUCGAAUGGAUUUAUAGCUUAAAUUUUGUUCCCCUCCACUAACAUGUUUUAAAUUAAAUUGUUGUUUACCUUUCUUACUUUUUGUUAUAAAUAAAAUAUUUUUGUUGUGUGCAA